UGGGGAAUAUUGGACAAUGGGCGCAAGCCUGAUCCAGCCAUUCCGCGUGAAGGAUGAAGGCCUUCGGGUUGUAAACUGCUAUUGUACGGAACGAAAAGCCCUUCUCUAAUCCAGAGGGGUCAUGACGGUAACGUAAGAAUAACCACCGGCUAACUACGUGCCAGCAGCCGCGGUAAUACGUAGGGUGCAAGCGUUAAUCGGAAUUACUGGGCGUAAAGCGUGCGUAGGCGGUUUUGUAAGUCAGAGGUGAAAUCCCCGGGCUCAACCUGGGAACUGCCUUUGUGACUGCAAGGCUGGAGUGCAGCAGAGGGGGAUGGAAUUCCGCGUGUAGCAGUGAAAUGCGUAGAUAUGCGGAGGAACACCGGUGGCGAAGGCAAUCCCAUGGGCUUGCACUGACGCUCAUGCACGAAAGCGUGGGGAGCAAACA
rnacentral:rRNA from 1 species